CUCACUCUUCUAACCCUCACCAGUUUAGGUCCACUGGAAAGGCCACCGGAGCAGGCUCGGUGGGUCCUGCAGACCUGCAGCGCAGACAGGAUAAUCGACGGGCAUGGUGGCACACACUUUUGGUCCCAGCACUCUGGAGGCUGAAGCUGAGGAUCUAUGAAUGCUCAUAUUCAUAAGGCAGAGAUGAGCCCCAACUCAAGACGCCGUACAGAAGUUGCAGUGGUUAACGUUGAAAUCGGAACUGUGUAAAGUGCAAAGAGUGAGCGUCAGUGGAGUGAGUGCCCAGGCACAGAUUGGUCCUCUCUACGGCACACAGUCCCACAAGGCUUCGGGACCAUAGCACACAGUGGAAGAGCGGAGGGAAAGAUUGUAAGCCAGAUGUCGAGAAAAACUGGAGUGACAUCGUCUUACGGAUAUGGAAUAUGGUCUAAUCACCGUGCUCACGAGCUCACAGUGCCCCGUAAUUGCCUUCACAAGACCUGUACAAGACCCAGCCUGUCAAUAAUUCCUGCAUGGAAUUAAGGCAUUCAUGAGCCCCCGCCCCUAACUGAGGAGCUGUGGAGAGUUACUAGCUUAUGAGAGAAGUGGGGGGGGUGGGGGGGAAGAGUUUUCUUUAAGGGUGUGGUUUCCCAGUUGGUUGACCAUGCUCCAGUGGAUAGCCCCACACCCAGAAGUAUGUGGGCAGCACAAAUUGGACCCCAUGGAUUAUUUAAAACCCACAGAAGACAGGGAGUAUAUGGGCUAACCUGAGAGGGGUAGGGAGAAGAGUGGAGAGUGGAUAUGACCAAAAUAUUCAGUAUAAAACUGUCAAGGAAUUAAUUAUAAUCUAUAUCCCUGCAUAAAGGAAUCUUUAUCUAUAUCCAUGUCCAUAUCUAUAUAAAGGAAUAGUCCAGGCGGAGGAGGUGGCUCCUUGCUUAAGCUUGCACUGCAGUCUCCCCAGGCAGUUCACAAUUGCCUAUGACUUCAGCUACAGAGGAUUUGACAUCCUCUUCUGCUCUCUUUGUGGGCAUUUACAUGUAUGUGCACACACAGAGACACACAUGUAUGUACUCAUUUUUUAAAAAAUCUUUAAAAGGAAUAAUCUGAAUUAUAAGCCUUGAGAAGGUAAGGGCCACCAUGUUCAAUUAAUGCCAGAUAUAUCAAUAACAUGAUCAAUUAAAAGUUGUUUAACAGACGAGUAUCAAAAUGUGAUGUCAGGGAAUGUAUGUGUGUAUGUGUGUGUGUAUGUAACCAGAGUACAUUAUGUACAUAUAUGAAAUUGUCUGAGCAGGAAGUUAGUUAAUAGAUUAUAUAAAACUGGGACUUCAUUGAUGAGAAACAAAAAAUACUUGAAGAAUAUUUUGUAAUGGAAAAAUUGUAAGCAUAACCAAGUGCAAUGAACUUGCUUCAAAGUCACACCUUUCUGAUAAUUGUUACUGCACAGCUAAUCUGUGUCACCUCCUCCUUACCUGCCCCACCCCCAGGACUCUGAAGUAGUCAUUACAUCUGUAAAUAUUUCCACAAGUAUCUCCAAUAUGAAAUUCUAUGGGUCCACAAGAUGGCUCGGCAGGAAGCAGGACUUGCUGUUAAGCCUGAUGACCUGAGUUCGAUCCUCAGGAGCCACCUUAGAACUCUAUUAGAACUUUUUAUAGCAUAUUUAUACUGGGACCCAGAGAGAGCUCACACAUUGUGAUUCCUCAAGACACAGGUCACCCUCUCAUUACCUUUAAACUUGCUUGAUUUUUCUUUCCUAAGAAAUCGUCUGGAUUUUCCUGAUACUACCCCACAGUGUGUAUUGAGCAAGCUUUUCUGUUGUGCGUGUCCAAUAAACGAGUAGUUUUGUCUUUGGUC
ensembl:lincRNA 2310069B03Rik RIKEN cDNA 2310069B03 gene